UACUGCCAAAAGUAUCUCCCAAAUUCAUGAAUUACUCUAUCAAACACAACCAUUUGUUGUUUCCUUAGAUAACACAAAUAUAAGAUGAUUAUCAAAGCCCAAAACUCCAACC